rnacentral:lncRNA from 12 species
GAUCAAAUGAUCCCUGGCUACAAAAAUACGCUGGGGAGUGACUCCCCUGGCGUCCAGGUUAUGAGUGUGGUCAGUCAUUCCACAUGCCUUGGGGAUGAGCUAUCUUUACCAUGAUGAGAGAUUUCCUUUUCAAGUUCAGUAGUCCCCAAAUACGCAUACUAGCAUCCAGAAAAGUCAAAGUAAUUAAGGAAACGUAUAUUGCAAGCUUAUUCAAGAUAGCACUGCAAUUAGGCUCGUGUCUCUUUGCUGUAUUUUUUUUUAUAAAUAAAAAUCAUUACCGUCCUAGAACAAAGAAGAAAUUUUACAACCUACUCUUAGAGUUAUAGAUAUCCGCCACACUGACUUCUUCAAUGUAAACCAUACACAGACGUUUAAGAAUUUCUCUCUGUCAUGUGUGCAUUGGGUAUGUGUGCCAGUUCCAUUCUCCUUUCGCAUGGGUCAUCAUUUUAUAAAACAACUUGGAAAGGGAAGAGGAAUAAAAAAAAAAAAAAAGCAAUUCUGGAAGCCUUUCCUCUUCCCUUUCUUCUGAUCUUUCAUUAGGUCUUGGAGGAGGAGGCCCUGCUUUAUGUGUGUGGCCUCCCAACCCUCUAGAAUGUCCUGACUUUUGGUGAGCAGAGGUGCAGCCCCCACCGCGAGGGCCAGAUCAGACCCGGGCUGCUGCUCCAGGGUACCCUGGGGUGCACCCCGCUCCCGGGGCCCCGCGGCCCGCAGACCCAAGGGACCCGCUGGGUCGGGACCUGCUGCUGGCGCGGUACCAAGGACAGGGCGUCACUGUCCAUCUCUCUAAGCUACCGUAACCGGAUCGCUGGCGCGGAAUCCAGUCCCCGGAGCGCCCGGGACCGCGGGCAGACAAGCAAGCAGCCUGCGCUGGAAGCAAACCUCGAGGCGAGGCUGCAACGCCGCCCGGCUGCAGAGCUGAGCUGCCGCCCGGGUCUCCUGCAGGAACAGCCCCGAAAGGCCUGGAAGAGGGAAGGAGGGAGGGAGGGAGGGAGGGAGGGAGGGAGGAUGGGGCCAGAGUCGCCCGCACUUGUGCACGUCGGCGGCGCCCCCCUUAGGACAGCAGCGCGGCUUGGGGGGGGGGGGCCGGCCGGAAACUAAGAAAACAGCGAGCCCAGGUUCCCCGGGAGGGGUGGGGUGCCGUGGGCUGGGCUGGGGGGCCCUCCUUUCGCCCCCCUCCUCCCUGCCCGACAGCUGUCCAGCUCUCGGAAUUCAUUGGCUUCCCCCACCCCGCCUCCCAAAUACCACCCCAAUCCACUUUAGCCCCCCUGCCCCACCCCCGCUGACCUAAUAAGGCCGGGCCGGGU